rnacentral:lncRNA from 1 species
CUCUGCUUGCAGGAAAGGAAGAAAAGCAGGCCCAAGAUGAUUCUGAGACAACUGGAGGCCUCUUGUGUUCAGCACCUGGAUUGUGCUCAGGAUGGCAAGAGAACAAAGCAAUCUGCUUGCUGUACUUGGGAUAGAGAAGACCUGCACGAGAAAGCCAGAUAUUCAAGAUGGUGUGAUUUCUGUCACAAGCUCUGAAGGACAGCAUGGCAGGACUUAACUGCAGACCAGUGUUUUCAUUAGAAGGAACGAGCUGCCUGUAGAUGUGUCCUUACAACUCCAUUGUGCUCUGAACAGCUUCUUGCUGACCGCUGCCUCAAUAUCAGUGAUUCCACCCUAGACCAUAAGCUCCAUGAGGGUAAGAAUCAAGUACUUGUUUUGUUUUGUUUUUGUUACCGUAUGGACUCAGUGACUAGCACAGGCU